AGUGAACGCUGGCGGCAGGCCUAAUACAUGCAAGUCGAACGGCAGCACAGCAGAGCUUGCUCUGUGGGUGGCGAGUGGCGGACGGGUGAGGAAUACAUGGGAAUCUGCCCAGUCGUGGGGGAUAACGUAUGGAAACGUACGCUAAUACCGCAUGCGCCCUAAGGGGGAAAGGCCGGGGACCGGCAAGGCCUGGCGCGAUUGGAUGAGCCCAUGUUCGAUUAGCUAGUUGGCGGGGUAAAGGCCCAUCAAGGCGACGAUCGAUAGCUGGUCUGAGAGGAUGAUCAGCCACACUGGAACUGAGACACGGUCCAGACUCCUACGGGAGGCAGCAGUAGGGAAUAUUGGACAAUGGGGGCAACCCUGAUCCAGCCAUGCCGCGUGAGUGAAGAAGGCCCUCGGGUUGUAAAGCUCUUUUGUCCGGAAAGAAAAGCAAUCGGUUAAUACCCGGUUGUUCUGACGGUACCGGAAGAAUAAGCACCGGCUAACUUCGUGCC
rnacentral:rRNA from 1 species